GUGCUCGCUUCGGCAGCACAUAUACUAACAUUGGAAAGAUACAGAGAAGAUUAGCAUGGCCCCUGCUCAAGGAUAACACUCAAAUUCGUGAAGUGUUCCAUAUUUUU
rnacentral:snRNA from 1 species